GCUUUGUUCUUCACUGUCAUACUGCCCGUGUAUCUUGAGUGGUUGUGUUUUCGCUAUCGAGCAAAAUGUCUCAGGUGUAUGAAAACAUCUUUCGUGACGCUCUGAAAGAUUUCAGAGGAUGGCUUGAUUUCAGGCUAUUGUAAUUCGUUGGAGGAGGUAAAACAAAGCAUUUCUUCAAGCAAAUGCAGGAACAUGUCCCUAUCCCCUUUUUUGGUUGUGCAUUUGCAGUGGAGAGUGUGUGGUCAAGGCACUGUGUUUUGGGGCCGAAAUACUAUAAAAGUAAAGAGUCUAGUGUACCUGAGCACUUGGUAAUAUCAUGCUGUGUUAAGAUAGACUUACUUUCCAUAAAACAAGUUCGUUACAGGGAAAGUUUAUUAAAUAAAUUUUAUAGUAGUUCUUUACCCUCUUUAGGAAGACCAUGUGACUCCUCGUAAGAGAUUGAGGAUCAUGGAUACUGGAAAAUCCAACUGCCCAACAACUUUAAAUAUGAAGUGUAUAAGGGUGUAUCCUGAUUACAGUAUGCACUCAGCAACUGAACACAGGGAUACCAAGGCAAAAGUUCUUGCAAGUCUACAGAAAGAUUUGGCAUUGCCAUGCCCGCCGAAGGGCUACCUACGUUAUUAUUUGACUGCUUCUCCAGCAAGUGCGCACACACACAUGCUACUGAAAGUGUUGAAGCAAGUGGGUACAUACAUCCUUCACUUGUAAAGGAAAUCAAAAACUUAGUAACUCAGUGGAAUGACAUCUCUCAAAGUCAUUAAGUUGGCUCUAGAUAGAUUUGUUGAAAUCAAUUUCAUUGGGACACACAUACCAGGUCAAAUGAAUACUACCUUUUACCCCACAGAGAAAACUAUUUACAGUCACAUUUAUCGGACCCUUUAUAGUACGAAUAAAGUAUUGUUUGACGAGACUAGACUGCAGAAUCAGGUUGAUGAGUGGCACAAAGACUCGAGCAAUCACAUGAUUUAUUAUAGGCAUUGUAUGGAAGCCAAUGGAGAAGUGAAACCAUUACUUUUUUGCUAUCAGAGCAGUUGGCAGAGAGAUCUUUUGAAGAAGUAUGGGGGUAGUUGUUUGUUAGAUGCAACAUACAAAACAUCAUAUGAUAUUCCUUUAUUUUUUAUAGCUGUGAAGAGUAAUGUGGGCUAUUUGGUUGUCGGUUUUUUUCAUUCAGAUUGAAAAUGCAAGAUCCAUUCAUGAAGCACUAGACAUUUUCAAGGACUGGAACAAGGAUUGGAAUCCCCUCUAUUGGGUUACCGAUUUCUCGGAGUCGGAGAUAAAUGCAAUUGAGCAAGCAUUCCCUCAGACAAAAGUUUACUUGUGCCUUUUCCAUCCAAAACAGGCAUGGGGAAGAUGGUUGAAAAAAAGGAUAAUCUACGUGUACCAAAUGACAUGAAGAGAUUUCUGGACAUGUGGCAAGAAAUUUCAGAAUCAUCAACAGAGAGAGAAUUUAGAGAUCACGUAGAAGAGUUGCAAACGCACGAGGUUUCUCGGAGAAACGAGCGUGCGUGGCCAUACUUUCAACAGCAGUGGCUAACGGUAUGUGAAAGAUGGGUGAAAGCGUAUGAGGACAAGGGCAGAUUUGCAACCAUUGACACUACAAAUGGAGUUGAAGCCAUGAACAAGGUUGUAAAACAUUUUUUCCUUAAACACAAUUCAGACAGGACUUUAACUGGGGUUACUAAGGUUAUAAUAAACCAGUUUCUUCCAAGCCUAAUUAGAAAGUACUGUCUGCAGAAUUCUGCCAUCAAAGCUUAUAACAAAGAUGUUCCACUGUUUUUGCAUAAAAAACAAACAAGUUUGUGAAACAUGUCAUGCAGCGAUAUGAAUCAGCGAAAGUUGAGUUAACUGCAAAAUCAGUGAGUGGGAGAUUGGAUGGUUCAUUUUGUGUGGAGAGUGCAAAGUCCAAAAAGUGUAGUUAUGUUGUAAACUUUGAUAUACCAGAUUGCACAUGUGUAGAUUUUCGGAGAUAUAAAUACCCAUGCAAGCACUUCUGUGCAAUCUUUAUUUUUUACCCAGAGUGGGGUUUUGAUAAAAUGCCAGAAAGUUAUGAGACUAGUCCAUUAAUCUGUCUUGAUGAAAUGUAUGGUGUGGGCUUUAGAAGUGGCUCUUUAGUAAUUUCAUGCGAAGGUAGUAGUACUGAUGAAGCAGCUGAGGAGGCUGUCAAGGCAGCAAAUACAGAUGGUCUUGUUCAAACCCAGAAUAUUUCUUCGCAGCAGUUUGAAGCGAGGGAGCUGUGUAAACAGAUUUAUAAUCUCACAUACAACUGCAGCAACAGCGAAACAUUACAAAAAGUACUUGAAUCACUGAGCAACUGUGUGCAAGAUUUGCAAUUAGCAAAUCCUGAAGUUGGUGGUCUCCCAUUAGUAGUGCCAUCAACUUCCAAACAAUAGUGAAGAACGAUGCCAAAAGCCUUAAGAGAUCUGUCUUAAACACAUUAUAACUUUCCAUUUGAAGGGUAAGAAAUGAUGGUUUAUUUGGAUUUUAGAUAGCUCUUUGUCUAUGUAAAAUACGAAUAAGCUCCGUCAUUUCUGAUCCUCGAGAUGGAAUGCUAUGAGGUCUUUAUGUUGGUCUCUGCUUUUAAACUUUGUUGCACAUUUGAAUUUCGAAGUAGCAAUAGAUAAAAUAUUAUAAAAAGGAUAGUUGCUACAUUUGUGUGUGUGUGUGUUUGUGAGUGAGUGUGCGCGCGCGCGCGCUUUUGAAAAGGCCCUUGUUGCCCGAAAGAUAAGUCCGACAGUCUUUUUGUUGUGCCUUUCUGUGACUCGGCAUCUUCACUAUUUGGUGAGCAGCAACAACUAUCCUUUUCAUAAUAUUGUUACAUUCCAUCCUGGAUUUUUCGUUGUUCACCAGAAAAAAGAUUUUUCUGAGGAAUUAAACUAGAUGAUAGUGUAGAACUUGCAAACUUUUUAAAAUAUGAAGUAAAAGAUUUUAACUUUAAAUUAGUUUAAUUCAAAUAUGGGACAAUGUUGAGAAUUGAAAAGGUGGAAAAAAUAAAUAAGAUAUAUCUUAGUGGCAUUGAGAUGUCGUAUGACUGAUGGAGAAAAGAUUUUGCAUUUCUUUUUCCAAGUAAGAAUGCACUUGCUCUCACUUGCUUCAAUACAUGUCUAGUGAUUCACGUGAAACAGAGAAAAAGAUAAAGACUGCCCUGUUAAUGAACAUGUGAGAUUGCCCAGUAUCACUCUGACAGAAGAGUGUGCUGUUUCCUUGAUAUGGUAUCUGGUCAUCAAUGUCAUUGGGACCAAAUGAAAGUUACUGCAGAGACCACACAGAAGCAAUUACUGUUACUGGAAUACCAGUAAUGUUUAUUAAAUUCAGUUAUAAAGUAGUUCUGGGCAUUGCAGCUGGUGAGUAAUGUCAUUGGGCACCAAAAGAAGUUCAGUUACGAUGGAUUUGUGGCCUUCAGUCCGUGGGAAAAUUCACACCAGAUUGAAUCAAGACUGUUAUAUUCCAAGGAUAUCGAAGAUUGAUAGUAUUCCUGAAGGAAAACAAUCCAUGUAGUAUUUCACGUGUGUAUCAAACUGCCAUUUGUUGUGGCACAUAAAUGUUUGCAACUUGAUUGUAAUUUUUGACAGGUUUCUCAACAAUCCAAGAAUUUCUUGUAAUGAGAAGUAGACAUUGUUGCUUGGGUAAAGGAAAUACAAAUCACGGUCAAUACAACUACCUUAUUAACUUUCCACAGAUAAAUAUUUUUCACUACUGCUACUUAAAAAUUCAAAUGUGUGACAGUUUGCUUACAGAACUUGGCAUAAAGAUCUCCCUUAUUUGUAUUUUUUAGAUAGCUCUUAUUGUUUGAUCCUUCAAAUGGAAUGCUAUGACCUCCAUGUGAUCUAUUCCUUAGUAGUUAAUUAUCCAUUAAGGCACAAAUAUAUGAACAUUACAAUGAGAGGGGUCUUUAUGCCAGGCCCUGUAAAAGUAAUGGCAUCUUACUUAAUAUUAUUGUUGGGAAUUUGAUGGCACAGCUGUGGGGAGACCACAAAUUUCAGGGUUUGCUAACUGCAAAUCUGGCACACAGUUGCUGAGUGAUUCAAGUACUUUUCAUAAUGUUUCACUGUUGAUACAGUUGUAUGUGAGAUUAUAAACUUGUUUGAACAACACCUUCACUUCAAAUUGCUGCAAAGAAAUGGUUAAGGUAUCAGUGUGAUGCUCUGUGUGUUUCCUCAACUUUGUCCUCAUUGCUACUAUCUUCAUGUGAAAUUACUGCAGACACACUUCUGAAACCAAACCUGUACAUCUCGUGGAGACAGAUUAAUGGGCUAUUCCUGCAGCCUUCUGGUAUUUUAUCAAAACCCCACUCUGGAUAGAAAAUAAAGAUCGCACAGAAAUGCUUGCAUGGGUAUUUAUAUAUCUUAAAAUCUUCACAUGUGCAGUUUGGUAGAGUAAAGCUUACAACAUAAUUACAGUCUUUGAACAUUGUACUCUCCAUACAAAACAUUGUCCAACUUCACAUUCACUAAUCUUGCAGUUAACUCAACUUUCCCUGGUUCAUAUCACUGCAUGACAUGUUUCACAAACUUGCUUUUUUUAAAAAAAAUGAAAAAACAGUGGAACAUGUCUGUUAUGAUUUGAUGGCAGAAUUCUGCAGACAGUACUUUCUAAUUAGGCUUGGAAGAAAUUGAUUUCUUAUAUCCCUAGUAGCCCCAUUGAAGGUCCCAUCUGUGUUCCAUUUUAGGAAAAAAAAAAUGUUUACAAUCUUGUUCAUGGCUUCAACUCCACUUGUAAUGUCAAUGGUAUCAAAAUUGCCCUUGUCCUCAUAAGCUUCCACUCACUUUUCAUGUACCAGUAGCCGCUGCUGUUAAACGUACGGUGAUGCAUAUUCGUUUCUCUGAGAAGCCUCACUAUCUCUUUUGUAUGAUCUGUAAAUUCUCUGUUGGUGAUUCUAAAAUUUCUUGCCACAUGCCCAGAAAUCUCUUCAUGUCAUUUGGUAUAUAUUCAGCCAUCUUCCUCAAACCUGUUUCAGACUGAAAAGGCACAAGUACACUUUUGUCUGAGGAAAUGCUAGAUCAGUUGCAUUUAUCUCAGACUAUAAGAAAUCAGUAACCCAGUAGAUGGGAUUCCAAUCCUUGAAAAUGGCUAGUGCUUCAUGAAUGGAUCUCGCAUUUUCAACUUGAAUGAAAAAGAAAACCAAAUAACCUGCAUUACUCUUUACAGCUAUAAAAAAAUAAAGGCAUAUCAUGUGUUGUUGUUUUGUAUGUUGCAUAUAACAACUAUCCCUGUACUUCUUCAAAAGAUCUCUUUGCUAACAGCUCUGAUAGAAAAAAGUUAUGGUUUCACUCCUCCAUUGGCACCUAUACCAUGUUUGUAAUAAAUCAUGUGAUUGCUUUAUUCCUUGUGCCACUUGUCAGCAUGAUUCUGCAAUCUAGUCUCAUCAAACAAUGCUUUAUUUGUACAUUACAAGGUCCAAUAUGUGUGAAUAUAAUUUCUUUCAGUGGGGUAAAAUGUAGUAUUCAUUAGACCUGAUAUGUGUGUCCCAGUGAAAUUAUCAAUAAAUGUAUCUAGAGCCAAAUUAUUGGCUGUAUGAUGUCAUUCCAUCGUGCACCUGAAUUUGUAUUUCCUUUACAAGCUAUUGUUAGCAUGUGUGUGUGCUGAUUUGCUGGAGAAGCAUAGAGAUAGUCUUUCAGCUAUCUUUGAGACAUUUAAAGGAGGUGCUUUAGAAAUGAGUGUCCUGAUUGAUAUGAAAAACAGUUUUCACAUUUUCUGUAAAAACUGUAAACAGUUCCUCAGUUGGUGAUUGUGGAAGAGAUUGCCAUAGCCACAGUAUUGAUCCACUGUCAGGUGGUAAACCUAGGAUUUCCUUCCAGUAUGAGCCAAGUGAAGUAAAACUGUGGUUGGAGAAAUGUUUUAUAUUCUUAAACUGAGUAUUUGCAACCCAUUAUGUUGGAUUGCAGUUCAUGUGUCAACACUUAAAAAUGUUUAGUUCUUCACUGAUGACACGUGAUACAAUUUCAAUUUUUAAGGCUAUUCUGUGUCAAGUUAAAUUUUGAAUUAUCCAUUUAAGCUUAUUUUUUUGCUGUGUGGCAGAUGGAUUUAUGUUCAUGUAAUAUUUUUAAUGUUGAUUGUGGUAAGGUGUAAUCAUAUGUAAA